AGGUCUCCCACUCCAAAGAGCAAACGUAAAUCUAAGGACAAAAAGCGGAAGCGGUCACGAAGUACAACACCAGCUCCCAAGAGCCGCCGGGCCCCUCGUUCAACUUCUGCUGACUCUGCUUCUUCUUCUGAUACGUCUCGCAGUCGGCGCUGCACAGACCAUUCGGAAGACACGGUCCCUGCCCUCUAGGAGCUGACAGGCUAAAGCAACAGGAUGGACAGACAUAUACAUUUCCCCUUCUCUUUUUCUUUUUUUUUUUUGUUAUUUUGUUAUUUUUUGUUUUGUUCUGAUGUAUAUGGACUGCCAGAAUAGUGGGGGUGGUGGUUUGUUCGUGGUGUCUGGGGGAGGAAGGAAUCCUUACCCUGGCUUCCUUAAUCGGGGAAGGCUUCCUGAAGGAGGUGGGCUCAGAGGUCUCGAAGUGCUGCAGCAAAAACUCAUGCAACAGCCUUGACUGGGCAAAGUCCUUCCCCUGCUUCAGGGCGUCGAGGGGAGGGAGAUGCAUCUUCCAGGGAACCAGGCACCACCAACACAGGGCAGCCUAGCAACCUCGAACCUUCUACAAAGCAGCCUAGCAGCCCUUAUGAAGAC